CGCGAACGUUGGCGGCGUGCCUAACACAUGCAAGUCGUGGGGCAGCAGGCUACUGUCUUUUGGCAGUAGUGCUGGCGACCGGCAAACGGGUGAGUAACACGUAGCUUACCUACCCAUGGGUUGGGGAUAACAUCCCGAAAGGGGUGCUAAUACCCAAUAAUGAGGAGACUCCAAAGCCCUUAUGGGCGCCUAUGGAUGGGGCUGCGUCCCAUCAGCUAGUUGGUGAGGUAAUGGCUCACCAAGGCUACGACGGGUAACCGGUCUGAGAGGAUGACCGGUCACAGUGGGACUGAGACACGGCCCGCACCCCUACGGGGGGCAGCAGUGGGGAAUAUUGGGCAAUGGCCGAAAGGCUGACCCAGCAACGCCGCGUGGUGGAUGAAGCCCUUCGGGGUGUAAACACCUUUUCUGGGGGAAGAUAAUGACGGUACCCCAGGAAUAAGGGACGGCUAACUACGUGCCAGCAGCCGCGGUAAUACGUAG
rnacentral:rRNA from 1 species